rnacentral:misc_RNA from 1 species
GUAGGUGAACCUGCGGAAGGAUCAUUAACACGUAUCCACGUUUUAAUAACCCGAGAAUUUCUUAGGAUUAGCUUAUUCGAGAAAAGGGGGCUCUUUUUCUGCUCACGCUUAAAAAAGCUCCCCGGCUCUUCUCGGUUCGAUCGACCUGAGAUGUGGCUAUUGAAUUAGCUUCCUAUGAAUAAGCGACUCAUUUAUUUUAAACCAAGACUUUCGGGUCUUUUUUUAAUUAAAUGAGGAGUUUGUUUUACCUCUCUUGAGAUCUCGGUCUCAUUUGAGGUAUAAACUUUUUCUAAACCUAAAAGCCGUCUCUUUGUAGACCGCUUUUAACCGAAUGCUGUACAACUCUUAGCAACGGAUAUCUUGGUUCUG